rnacentral:rRNA from 1 species
GGUCAAAUCAUCAUGCCCCUUAAGUCUUGGGCAUCACACGUGCUACAAUGGCUGUAACAAAGUGACGCGACCCCGCGAGGGUGAGCAAACCACAAAAAUGCAGCCUCAGUUCGGAUCGCAGUCUGCAACCCGACUGCGUGAAGUCGGAAUCGCUAGUAAUCGCGAAUCAGCAUGUCGCGGUGAAUACGUUCCCGGGGUUU